rnacentral:lncRNA from 1 species
GUUUCCUUCAUGUAGAUUGCUGUGUGUGUCUUUUUCUUCAUAAUUCCCCUUAAUUCUGUGUGCUUUGAAUGACACUGUUGUUGUUACUGUUGUUUUAUAUCCAUUGUCACAUAAAACUCUUAUCAUUUAUUCUUCCAGGCCAGGGACUGUCCUUAUGGGUAGAGAUACACUAUCUGCAGGAAUUUAUUUUUUUACGUAUUUUUACUAGUUGAUGGGAAAGACAUUGGGAAAGACCUGGGCUGGAUUUGUGAUGAGCUGUGUUUACUGAGCAUGAUGAAGUAAAGCUCAACGUGAUUACUCUGAAGUCCAGCCUUACUGUCAGUCUAAGGACUCAGGAUACAAAUACUCAAAACAUAAAUUCUUAGACUCUAAAUUUCACAUGGUUUUUCCUAUCAGUACAGGUUAAGGAUAAUGGCGUGUUGUAGGUUUUUCCAGUGCAAUACAAGGAAGUUGGUUCUAGAUCCUUUAGUACAGUUAAUGUUUUGUAGAGUGUGUUCUAUGUUCACUGCAUUGGUAUGUCUCAUCUUUGGCAUGAUCUUGGCUCACCGCAACCUCCGCCUCUUGCAUUCAAGCACUUCUUGUCUCAGCCUCCAGAGUAGCUGGGAUUACAAGCAUGUGCCAACAUGCCCGGCUAAUUUUUGUAUGCUUUUGUGGAGACAGGCUUUGCCAUGUUUGCCAGGUUGGUCUCUAAGUGAUCCACCCGCCUCAGCCCCACAAAGUGCUGGGAUUACAUGCGUGAGCCACCGUACCCAGCCACACCUUUGCUUAUUUCUACUAUGCAUUUCAAGUGAUCAUUUCAAGAGAAUAAGUACUUAGGAGCUCCUAUGCUCUUUUUUUUUUUAACCCUGUUGCUUGCAUCACCCGGUUCCAACCCUAUAUGAAAGUUUCAUGAGCAUGUUUCUGUCACUGAGGCAGCUUCUCCAUUUGGCAUAUAAUUGAGAAAUUGCUAGUUUGUGGCUGAGACAUUGGUUUGAGAGGAGACGUAAUUUAUAUAUUUAGCAGAAUGCUUAAGUUACAUUUCCAGAGAUUAAUUUAAUUCUACUUUUAAUUAAGUUAACCCUUUGCUGUAUCUUUACAAGACGUAGGUGGAGAUUUAAUUUUGACUCUUAGAUUCAGUUAAGGUGAUGAAAUUGGCAUUAUAUAGUUUUUGAUGCUGAGCCCCACGGAGAUUAAAAGAUUUGCUAAACACCAUGCAAUUUUUGAAUCACAUCUCUAAUCUCACAUUAUUCUGUACUCUAUUUUUUGCUUGUAUGAUUGAUGGGUCUUUCAUUAUCUGUGAUUGACAUUCUAUGAGUAGGUGCUUUUGCUUUGCCUAUAAGUCGUUAUUAUGAAGGAGGAAUGGUGAAUAAGAAGGUAAUUUAGAAAAGCCUAUAUUAAAUAUACCAUGAACAUUGAAUAUAGCAAGAUCUUAUUCUCUAGUUGUUAUCUUAGUUGAUAAAUUCUGUAUGUGUUAUGUGUUUGUGUAUACAUAUGUACAUAUUAAUGAUGUGGGUGUUGAUACUGUGAUCACAUGACAAAUGACUGGUUUAUAGUGAAAAGCUGUUGGGGUUCAGAGAAAUGAACAUUCUUCUAAAAGUGAGGUAGAUAAGUUAUUUUAUAGUUCUUGCCUUUGAGUCUCUGUUCUUCUGGUAGAAAUGUUAGUGUAUUUAUAACCUCUCAGAUUUGUUUGGUUCUCUUAGUGUUCUUGAUCCAGGCAGUUAGCGAUAUGUUGGAUGAAUUGAGAAAAAUGAGUUUUUCCUUUCCUACUAACUGAAUUAGAUUAGAAAUAAGCAGUUAAGUGAGAAAAAUAGGGAAUUAGUGCCAGAUAUGUUGAGGUGUAGUGUUGACAGGGGGUCUUUUACCUUCAGAUGUUUGGUGCAACUUAGAGAAUGCAGUGGUAGUUGCUGGCCCAGCCCAUCCAAACAACCUCAUUUGUGGGGUGAUACUUCACAGAUGACUUAAAAUAAAUCCCCUGAAAAUAAGAAUCUCUGGAAGAGAUGACACGUGUAUGUGCGUGUGUGCACGUGUGUGCGUGUGUGCACGUGUGUGUGUGUGUGUGUUUUGGUGGAGUGGUAGGAGGAGGGUUGGCUUAAUGAUGAGAAUCAUUAUUUCUUGAAUUGGAUGACACUUUCCAUUCCUGCAAAGGGAGCGUGAGGUCCAGCCUUGCUAAUUCAUGAUCAAAGUAAUUUGCUGAGAGUAGUGGAAGGAAUGAGUUAGCAGAAGAUGGCAAAUUGCAUUAAUGAGUAGUAGGAGGAAAACAAAUAAGCAAAUUUUAAUGUGGUUGGAACAUGUUCCUGAGUUGUAUGAAGGGAGACAGGUAAAUUGAGAGUAAUGUUAUGAUUGUUUCAUUUGUUGGAAAUAAGGAAAACUUGCAUGGUUUGAAUUGUGGAACAAUAGGUGGUGUAUGUUAGGAGUCAGAAUUAUCAUUUAACAUGUAAGUUUCUGUUUUACUUCAGAUAAAGAAUGUCAGCUACCUUUCCCAUGUUAGCUUCUAUACCUUUUCUUGAGGUGACCAUAAAUAGGUAAUAUUGUCUUUCACUGAGAUUGUUUUAAUUAGCGAAGUGUGCUGAUUAAAUGUCUUUUCUUGAUAAAUUAUUAGAAUGAAUAAAGGAUGGUAUUUCUAGAUAGCCUUGGUUAGUCAGUGAUUUGUUUAAAUUUAGUGUGGAUAAGAAUCACCUGAGGGCUUUUUAAACACAGUUUACUGGGUCCUGACCUUAGUGUUUCUGGCUUAUUAGGUAUAAGUAUGAGAAGUUGAUUUUUAUCAAGUUUCUAGAUGCUACAGAUCUAGGAACCAUACUUAGAGUGCUAUUAUAUGUCUUUUAAUGUACACUGAUAUGGAAAAAGCAAUGAUACAUCAUGUUAUCGCAUAUUUUAAAAUGUGAUCAUGACCAGGGAAUCUUGAAAGUUGUCUUAUGUAAUAAUGUAAAUCAAUGUAGAAUACCAUAUAUUUUUUUCUUGCAAGGUUAUUAUUAAUAGGAAUGACUAUUUGUAGCCAAUGUGUUCAAAUGCAUGGGAGGACGUAAACACUUCAUAAUUUCCUGGAAAUACAGACAUAUAUCACUUAAAAUAAUACAUUUCUAAUAUAAAUUUAAAUUAUCUACGUGAUAUGAGGAAACGAGCUUAUUUUUGAUAAUUUUCCUAGCAGUGAAUCAACUAUACUCAUUUGAAUCUAAAUUAAAUUAAAUUUGAGUAAAUUCAGCCAUUUCUAAAUUCAGUCCAUAUAAAUUCACUUUGGGUAAAAGAAGACAAAAUUCCUGAAAACAGUAGAUUAAAAAAAUAACAUUUUAAGAGCAGGUAUGAUCUCAAUGAAUAUAGUGUGGUAAUUUCUGCCUAAUACCUACCCUUUUGGAGGAAGGAAAGGUAAUCCUGUUUGUGUUUAAUGUUAAUUACUGAAC